rnacentral:rRNA from 1 species
UACCAAGCCGACGAUCAGUAGCCGACCUGAGAGGGUGACCGGCCACAUUGGGACUGAGACACGGCCCAGACUCCUACGGGAGGCAGCAGUGGGGAAUAUUGCACAAUGGAGGAAACUCUGAUGCAGCGACGCCGCGUGAAGGAUGAAGUAUUUCGGUAUGUAAACUUCUAUCAGCAGGGAAGAAAAUGACGGUACCUGACUAAGAAGCCCCGGCUAACUACGUGCCAGCAGCCGCGGUAAUACGUAGGGGGCAAGCGUUAUCCGGAUUUACUGGGUGUAAAGGGAGCGUAGACGGCACGGCAAGCCAGAUGUGAAAGCCCGGGGCUCAACCCCGGGACUGCAUUUGGAACUGCUGAGCUAGAGUGUCGGAGAGGCAAGUGGAAUUCCUAGUGUAGCGGUGAAAUGCGUAGAUAUUAGGAGGAACACCAGUGGCGAAGGCGGCUUGCUGGACGAUGACUGACGUUGAGGCUCGAAAGCGUGGGGAGCAAACAAGAUUAGAUACCCUGGUAGUCCACGCCGUAAACGAUGACUGCUAGGUGUCGGGUGGCAAAACCAUUCGGUGCCGCAGCUAACGCAAUAAGCAGUCCACCUGGGGAGUACGUUCGCACGAAUGAAACUCAAAGGAAUUGACGGGGACUCGCACAAGCGGUGGAGCAUGUGGUUUAAUUUGAAGCAACGCGAAGAACCUUACCUGAUCUUGACAUCCCGAUGACCGCUUCGUAAUGGAAGCUUUUCUUCGGAACAUCGGUGACAGGUGGUGCAUGGUUGUCGUCAGCUCGUGUCGUGAGAUGUUGGGUUAAGUCCCGCAACGAGCGCAACCCCUAUCUUCAGUAGCCAGCAGGUUAAGCUGGGCACUCUGGAGAGACUGCCAGGGAUAACCUGGAGGAAGGUGGGGAUGACGUCAAAUCAUCAUGCCCCCUAUGACCAGGGCUACACACGUGCUACAAUGGCGUAAACAAAGAGAAGCGAACUCGCGAGGGUAAGCAAAUCUCAAAAAUAACGUCUCAGUUCGGAUUGUAGUCUGCAACUCGACUACAUGAAGCUGGAAUCGCUAGUAAUCGCAGAUCAGAAUGCUGCGGCGAAAAAAGUCCCGGGUCUUGC